GCAGAAAAUCAGAAUUGCUUAAGUUAGGCUCUUUUUUUUUAAGGUUUAAAAUAUGAGUUCUCAGGGAGCUGUGGAGAUGAAAUCCUUGAGAGUUCUACUAGCCAUCCUGGGGAUUCAUUUAAGCUGGGUGAAGAGCCAACAGAAGGAGGUGGAGCAGAAUCCUGAAUUCCUCCCUGUUUCCGAGAAAGCCAGGGCCUCUCUCAACUGUACUUAUAGCAACAGUGCUAAUGAGUACUUCGUGUGGUACAGACAAUAUUCUGGGAAAGGCCCUGAGUUGCUGGUGUCCAUAUACGUGGGCAAUGAGAAGAAUACAAAUGGAAGGUUUACAGUCCAUCUCAAUAAAGCCAGCAAGUAUGUUUCCCUGCUCAUCAAGGACUCCCAGCCCAGUGACACAGCCACCUACCUCUGUGCAGAAGGCAAAGGGAGUCAUAAAACUGUACUUGGGAAAGCUGUAAGUCAGACUUUUAUGGCUACCCAUUUCCACCCUCUGUUGCAACUCCACUUCCCUGCCAAAUAA